rnacentral:rRNA from 1 species
GCAACGCGAAGAACCUUACCUACCCUUGACAUGUCAGGAAGAUUCCAGAGAUGGGAUUGUGCCCGAAAGGGAAUCUGAACACAGGUGCUGCAUGGCUGUCGUCAGCUCGUGUCGUGAGAUGUUGGGUUAAGUCCCGCAACGAGCGCAACCCUUGUCAUUAAUUGCCAUCAUUCAGUUGGGCACUUUAAUGAGACUGCCGGUGAUAAACCGGAGGAAGGUGGGGAUGACGUCAAGUCCUCAUGGCCCUUAUGGGUAGGGCUUCACACGUAAUACAAUGGUCGGUACAGAGGGUUGCCAACCCGCGAGGGGGAGCUAAUCUCAGAAAGCCGAUCGUAGUCCGGAUUGGAGUCUGCAACUCGACUCC